rnacentral:rRNA from 1 species
AUUGAACGCUGGCGGCAUGCUUUACACAUGCAAGUCGAACGGCAGCGCGGGCUUCGGCCUGGCGGCGAGUGGCGAACGGGUGAGUAAUGCAUCGGAACGUGCCCAGUAGUGGGGGAUAGCCCGGCGAAAGCCGGAUUAAUACCGCAUACGACCUGAGGGUGAAAGCGGGGGACCGAAAGGCCUCGCGCCAUUGGAGCGGCCGAUGUCGGAUUAGCUAGUUGGUGGGGUAAAGGCUUACCAAGGCGACGAUCCGUAGCUGGUCUGAGAGGACGACCAGCCACACUGGGACUGAGACACGGCCCAGACUCCUACGGGAGGCAGCAGUGGGGAAUUUUGGACAAUGGGGGCAACCCUGAUCCAGCCAUGCCGCGUGCGGGAAGAAGGCCUUCGGUUUGUAAACCGCUUUUGUUCGGGAAGAAAUCCUCUGGGCUAAUACCCCGGGGGGAUGACGGUACCGGAAGAAUAAGCACCGGCUAACUACGUG